AGGGCUAUACUUUCAGUGAUUAUUUCUGUGGUUAGUUCCUAGAGGAGUCUCUCUGAACACCAGAAACCCUGAGGAGUAAUUGCGAGUCUGAAGUGAGUUCUUAGGGCUAUUUCACUGAAAUUAUCAUUGAGGGUCAUUCUUCUCUUCCUUUGAGAGAGGAUGAGGAAGAGGAGGCAGCCUGAGUAAC
rnacentral:snoRNA from 1 species